rnacentral:rRNA from 1 species
GACGAACGCUGGCGGCGUGCCUAAUACAUGCAAGUCGAACGCUUCUUUCCUCCCGAGUGCUUGCACUCAAUUGGAAAGAGGAGUGGCGGACGGGUGAGUAACACGUGGGUAACCUACCCAUCCGAGGGGGAUAACACUUGGAAACAGGUGCUAAUACCGCAUAACAGUUUAUGCCGCAUGGCAUAAGAGUGAAAGGCGCUUUCGGGUGUCGUUGAUGGAUGGACCCGCGGUGCAUUAGCUAGUUGGUGAGGUAACGGCUCACCAAGGCCACGAUGCAUAGCCGACCUGAGAGGGUGAUCGGCCACACUGGGACUGAGACACGGCCCAGACUCCUACGGGAGGCAGCAGUAGGGAAUCUUCGGCAAUGGACGAAAGUCUGACCGAGCAACGCCGCGUGAGUGAAGAAGGUUUUCGGAUCGUAAAACUCUGUUGUUAGAGAAGAACAAGGACGUUAGUAACUGAACGUCCCCUGACGGUAGCUAAACAGAAAGCCACGGCUAACUACGUG